rnacentral:rRNA from 1 species
CCUACGGGAGGCAGCAGUGAGGAAUAUUGGUCAAUGGACGCAAGCCUGAACCAGCCAAGUCGCGUGAAGGAAGACGGCCCUAUGAGUUGUAAACUGCUUUUGUACGAGGGUAAACGCAGAUACGCGUACCUGUCUGAAAGUACCGUACGAAUAAGGAUCGGCUAACUCCGUGCCAGCAGCCGAGGUAAUACGGAGGAUUCAAGCGUUAUCCGGAUUUAUUGGGUUUAAAGGGUGCGUAGGCGGGCGGAGAAGUUAGGGGUGAAAUCCCGAGGCUCAACUUCGGAAUUGCCUUUGAUACUGUUCGGCUAGAGUGUAGUUGCGGUAGGCGGAAUGUGUGGUGUAGCGGUGAAAUGCUUAGAGAUCACGCAGAACACCGAUUGCGAAGGCAGCUUACCAAGCUCCUUCUGACGUUGAGGCACGAAAGCGUGGGGAUCAAACAGGAUUAGAUACCCGAGUAGUC